GCAACAAUUUGAGAGGCCCCAGAGAGAUUCCAAAGGCCUGAGGACUUGGCACAAAAUGGAAUUUACCAGCUAGACAGAAGAGACAGGGAAAGAAACUGGCGUUGAUCAUACUGAACGCCAUCAUGAAGGAGGUUUGAGAUACUGCUUUUUCCUCUCUGUGAAGUCCUGAGUCCAUGGAAAGGCCGAGGGGAGAAACAUCGGCAGCAACAUGGCAGCUCUAUUAGUGAUGGAAACUGGAUUGGGAAAUGCGAUAUCACAUCUGUCACCUAGAGGUUUUGGCAACAAUAUUUCGGCCUAGAAUUCAGCCCAGCACAUUCAGUGUACUGUGCUUACCCAGCCUCUGGCAGAGUGGGACAGCUGAAGCUUCCUGGAAAGGAAGAAGCUCUUGUUACCCGGUGGAAAGCAGAUCGCAAUGGAUACUUCCUGCAGUCAGUCAAGCUUCUGAAAGUAGAGAAUCAGGGAGGAGCUAAGAAAAGCAGCGGUCAAGAUAAACUAAGCCCCUUAUCCCCAGCCCACAAAUAAAAUGCUUCAGUCUUUCUUCCAUGGGAAUGAAGUCAGGGAUACAGAAAGAAACCAAAUAUGUUUCUCUCAGUGGUGUCUAUAGAAAAAGGAAGUCAAAGAGAGAUGAGGGUUCUCCCCUAAUGUCUGAGAUAACACAGCUGGAGGCCCUAAUCUAACCUGGAUUUGGGGAUCAAAGAAAGUUUCACCAAGGUGAAAACACA
rnacentral:lncRNA from 1 species